rnacentral:rRNA from 1 species
GACGAACGCUGGCGGCAUGCCUUACACAUGCAAGUCGAACGGCAGCACGGGGCGAACCCUGGUGGGCGAGUGGCGGACGGGUGAGUAAUGCAUCGGAACGUGCCCUGAAGUGGGGGAGUAACGCAGCGAAAGCUACGCUAAUACCGCAUAUUCUGUGAGCAGGAAAGCAGGGGAGUCGCAAGACCUUGCGCUUUGGGAGCGGCCGAUGUCGGAUUAGCUAGUUGGUGGGGUAAAGGCCUACCAAGGCGACGAUCCGUAGCGGGUCUGAGAGGAUGAUCCGCCACACUGGGACUGAGACACGGCCCAGACUCCUACGGGAGGCAGCAGUGGGGAAUUUUGGACAAUGGGCGGAAGCCUGAUCCAGCCAUGCCGCGUGAGUGAAGAAGGCCUUCGGUUGGUUAAACCUACUUUCUAGCA